rnacentral:misc_RNA from 1 species
UUUGAGAUCGAACGUUCAAAAAGCUGUCCUCGCUGAGGAGAGACAUCUGUGAGCUCCAGCGAACCUUUGUCACCAAAGGUUACCUGGCGGACAACUGCGAGCGUAGAUAUUUAUCACACCCGUGAUGCCACCAAACACUGGGAGGCUGAUUCAUUUGAGGGGAGCCGACCGCAGGCCAGCAAAACCCCCAGAGUCCAAGCUCAUCACGGCGAACCAUGAGAGUUGAGGUGUUCAUGAUACUCAAACAGGCAUGCCCCUCGGAAUAGCCAAGGGGCGCAAGGUGCGUUCAAAGAUUCGAUGAUUCACUGAAUUCUGCAAUUCACAUUACUUAUCGCAUUUCGCUGCGUUCUUCAUCGAUGCGAGAGCCAAGAGAUCCGUUGCUGAAAGUUGUAUUGUAUUGCGUUAGACGCGGCAUACAUUCCAUAAGACUUUAUUACAGUGUGUGUGUAAAGACGUAGAACCACGGCAGGAAGACAGGGUCCCCCAGACCACAGAACUACGGAGGGUGCACAGGUGUGAGUGGAUGUGUAAACAGAGCGUGCACAUGUCCCCGUUCGAGGACCAGCAACAACCCGUUGACAAUUCUGUAAUGAUCCUUCC